rnacentral:rRNA from 1 species
GACGAACGCUGGCGGCGUGCCUAAUACAUGCAAGUCGAACGGUCUUUUCUAUGGAAGCUUGCUUCCACUGAGAAGAUAGUGGCGAACGGGUGAGUAACACGUGGGUAACCUGCCCAUAAGAGGGGGAUAACAUCCGGAAACGGGUGCUAAUACCGCAUAGUUUUCUUGAUCGCAUGAUCGGGAAAGGAAAGACGGCCUUUGUGCUGUCGCUUAUGGAUGGACCCGCGGCGUAUUAGUUAGUUGGUGAGGUAACGGCUCACCAAGACGAUGAUACGUAGCCGACCUGAGAGGGUGAUCGGCCACAUUGGGACUGAGACACGGCCCAAACUCCUACGGGAGGCAGCAGUAGGGAAUCUUCCGCAAUGGACGAAAGUCUGACGGAGCAACGCCGCGUGAGUGAAGAAGGUUUUCGGAUCGUAAAACUCUGUGUCAGAGAAGAACAAGUUGGAGAGUAACUGCU